rnacentral:rRNA from 1 species
GAUGAACGCUGGCGGCGUGCCUAAUACAUGCAAGUCGAACGCACAGCGAAAGGUGCUUGCACCUUUCAAGUGAGUGGCGAACGGGUGAGUAACACGUGGAUAACCUACCUCAAGGUUGGGGAUAACAUUUGGAAACAGAUGCUAAUACCGAAUAAAACUUCGUAUCGCAUGAUACAAGGUUAAAAGGCGCUACGGCGUCACCUAGAGAUGGAUCCGCGGUGCAUUAGUUAGUUGGUGGGUAAAGGCCUACCAAGACAAUGAUGCAUAGCCGAGUUGAGAGACUGAUCGGCCACAUUGGGACUGAGACACGGCCCAAACUCCUACGGGAGGCUGCAGUAGGGAAUCUUCCACAAAUGGGCGAAAAGCCUGAUGGAGCAAACGCCGCGUGUGUGAUGAAGGCUUUUCGGGCGUAAAAGCACUGUUGUAUGGGAAGAACAGCUAGAGUAGGGAUGACUUAGUUUGAC